rnacentral:rRNA from 1 species
UACGUAGGGUGCGAGCGUUGCCCGGAUUUAUUGGGCGUAAAGGGCGCGUAGGCGGCCACGCACGUCCGUUGUGAAAUCGCCCGGCUCAACUGGGCGGGGUCAGCGGAUACGGUGUGGCUCGAGCAAGCUAGGGGGCAAUGGAAUUCCCGGUGUAGUGGUGGAAUGCGUAGAUAUCGGGAGGAACACCAGUGGCGAAGGCGGUUGCCUGGAGCUUUGCUGACGCUGAGGCGCGAAAG